rnacentral:rRNA from 1 species
GAUUUAGCCAGCACCCUCAAGCAAAGAGACCUUUAGUUUGAAGCCCCGAAACCAGGUGAGCUACCCCGAGACAGCCUAUAUUAUUUAGGGCUAACCCGUCUCUGUGGCAAAAGAGUGGGAAGAGCUCCGGGUAGAAGUGACAGACCUACCGAACCUGGUGAUAGCUGGUUGUCUGAGAAAUGGAUAGAAGUUCAGCCUCAUGCGCCCCAAAUCAAUAUGUAAAUUAUUAAGAUCCUCAAGGGAGAUAUAUGAGAGUUAGUUAAGAGGGGUACAGCCCUUUUAACAAAGGAUACAACCUUUACAGGAGGAUAAAGAUCAUAAUAUAUAAAACAUACUGUUUUAGUGGGCCUAAAAGCAGCCAUCUAAAUAGAAAGCGUUAAAGCUCAGACAGAAAGAAGUUUAUUAUACCGAUAAGGAAUCUUAUUCCCCUAAUUAUAUCAGAUCAACCCAUGCCCACAUGGAAGAGAUUAUGCUAGAAUGAGUAACAAGAAGACCUGCGCUUCUCCUUGCACAAGUGUAAACCAGCUCGGACAAACCACUGGAAAUUAACGAACCCAACCCAAGAGGGCAAUGUGAACAACAAAAAUCUCAAGAAGAAUUCACAAUUGAACUAAUCGUUAACCCCACACUGGAGUGCUAUUUUAUAAAGGAAAGACUAAAAGAUAGGGAAGGAACUCGGCAAACACAAGCCUCGCCUGUUUACCAAAAACAUCGCCUCCUGCAACUAAAUUGAGUAUAGGAGGUCCAGCCUGCCCAGUGACUACGGGUUCAACGGCCGCGGUAUUUUGACCGUGCAAAGGUAGCGCAAUCACUUGUCUCUUAAAUAGAGACCUGUAUGAAUGGCUAGACG